rnacentral:rRNA from 1 species
AACGCGAAGAACCUUACCAGGGCUUGACAUGGGCAAGACGCGUCCAGAGAUGGGCGUUCCCGCAAGGGCUUGCCGCACAGGUGCUGCAUGGCUGUCGUCAGCUCGUGUCGUGAGAUGUUGGGUUAAGUCCCGCAACGAGCGCAACCCUCGCCUUCAGUUGCCAUCGGGUUUGGCUGGGCACUCUGAAGGAACUGCCGGUGACAAGCCGGAGGAAGGUGGGGAUGACGUCAAGUCCUCAUGGCCCUUAUGUCCUGGGCUACACACGUGCUACAAUGGCGGUGACAGCGGGAUGCUAGGUCGCGAGGCCAAGCCGAUCCCAAAAAGCCGUCUCAGUUCAGAUUGCACUCUGCAACUCGGGUGCAUGAAGGUGGAAUCGCUAGUAAUCGCGGAUCAGCACGCCGCGGUGAAUACGUUCCCGGGCCUUGUACACACCGGAGUA